UCUUCGAUGGUCUAGUGGUCAUGAUUUCCGCUUGUCAAGAUGAUGUCUGAACAAGCGCGGGAGACCGGGGUUCGAUUCCCCGUCGGAGAG